ensembl:snoRNA
CCGCAAGCCGUCCAGCAUGGUGGGGCCUGCGGUGGCCCCGGCCGUUCCUGCAGCGCUUGCCAGAGCAGCCCCGGGGUGGUUUGAGGCCUCCCCCUGCGCCCCUCGGGGGGAGGCUAUAGAAAUCCCACACACGG